UAAGGAAUAUUGGUCAAUGGGGGCAACCCUGAACCAGCCAUGCCGCGUGCAGGAAGACAGCCCUACGGGUCGUAAACUGCUUUUGCACGGGAAUAAACCCCGCCACGUGUGGCGGACUGAACGUACCGUGAGAAUAAGGAUCGGCUAACUCCGUGCCAGCAGCCGCGGUAAUACGGAGGAUCCGAGCGUUAUCCGGAUUUAUUGGGUUUAAAGGGUGCGUAGGCGGCCUGUUAAGUCAGGGGUGAAAGACGGUAGCUCAACUAUCGCAGUGCCCUUGAUACUGACGGGCUUGAAUGGACUAGAGGUGGGCGGAAUGAGACAAGUAGCGGUGAAAUGCAUAGAUAUGUCUCAGAACACCGAUUGCGAAGGCAGCUCACUAUGGUUCUAUUGACGCUGAGGCACGAAAGCGUGGGGAUCGAACA
rnacentral:rRNA from 1 species